UACCCUGAACGGUGGAUCA
rnacentral:rRNA from 1 species